rnacentral:lncRNA from 1 species
UUCUUUGUCUUUCCAUGUUUAAAAAUUUGCAAAUAGACCUCUUAAGUUUCUUGAAAACUUUCUUAUUAUUUUGAUGAUAUGGAUGCAAAUGGGUGCAUGAAUGCAUGAAUGCAACAAACACACUCAAGGAUCAAGCAAAGCACACCAAACAAAGGUCAUGGGAUGGAUCAUAUUAUCCUUAAUAUCAAUCGUCCAUUUUG